CCUACGGGUGGCAGCAGUAGGGAAUAUUGGGCAAUGGGCGAAAGCCUGACCCAGCAACGCCGCGUGUGCGAUGAAGGCCUUCGGGCCGUAAAGCACUUUUCUGGGAGAUGAGAAAGGACAGUAUCCCAGGAAUAAGUCUCGGCUAACUACGUGCCAGCAGCCGCGGUAAAACGUAGGAGGCAAGCGUUAUCCGGAUUUACUGGGCGUAAAGCGCGUGCAGGCGGUUUGGUAAGUUGGAUGUGAAAGCUCCUGGCUCAACUGGGAGAGGUCGUUCAAUACUACCAAACUAGAGAGCGGUAGAGGAAGGUGGAAUUCCCGGUGUAGUGGUGAAAUGCGUAGAUAUCGGGAGGAACACCAGUGGCGAAAGCGGCCUUCUGGACCGUUUCUGACGCUCAGACGCGAAAGCUAGGGUAGCAAACGGGAUUAGAUACCCGUGUAGUC
rnacentral:rRNA from 1 species